rnacentral:rRNA from 1 species
UACGUAGGGAGCGAGCGUUAUCCGAAUUUAUUGGGUGUAAAGCGUGCGUAGGAGGUUUAAUAAGUCUAAGGUUUAAGUCCGAAGCUUAACUUCGGUUCGCCUUAGAAACUGUUUUACUUGAGUGUGGUAGAGGCAAGUGGAAUUUCUAGUGUAGCGGUAAAAUGCUUAGAUAUUAGAAGGAACACCAGUGGCGAAGGCGACUUGCUGGGCCAAUACUGACGCUGAGGCACGAAAGCGUGGGGAGCAAAUA